GUCUUUUUGAUUAUAAUUAAAAGUUUAAUCUGCUCAAUGAAAAUUUUUAAAUAGCUGCGGUAUUUUGACCGUACUAAGGUAGCAUAAUCAAUAGUUUUUUAAUUGAAAGCUGGUAUGAAUGAUUGGAUGAAAUAAUUAUUGUUUCAAAUUUAAUAAUUUUAGAAUUUUUUUUUUAGUAAAAAUACUAAAAUAAAUAUAAAAGACGAGAAGACCCUAUAGAUUUUUAUAUUUAAUUUUUUUUAUAUUAAUUUAAUUAAAUUUUUAACUAUUUAUUUAAAUAUUUGAUUGGGGAAAUUUUUAAAUUAAAUUAAUUUUAAAUUUUAGAAAACUUUAAUUAAUGAUUAAUUGAUUAUAAAUUUUAUAAUUGGAGAUUAAAUUACCUUAGGGAUAACAGCGUAAUUUUUUUGGGGAGAUCAUAUUUAUAAAAAAGAUUGC
rnacentral:rRNA from 1 species